GAUGAACGCUAGCGGCAGGCUUAAUACAUGCAAGUCAAGGGGGUAGCAAUACAACCGGCGCACGGGUGAGUAACGCGUACACAACAUACCAUAUACUGGGGUAUAGCUUCGGGAAACUGAAGGUAAUCCCCUAUAAUAUUGCGGGAAGGCAUCUUUCUGCAAUUAAAGUUUCGACGGUAUAUGAUUGGUGUGCGUUUGAUUAGCUAGUUGGUAGGGUAACGGCCUACCAAGGCGACGAUCAAUAGCUGGCGUGAGAGCGCGACCAGCCACACUGGAACUGAGACACGGUCCAGACUCCUACGGGAGGCAGCAGUAGGGAAUAUUGGACAAUGGGCGAAAGCCUGAUCCAGCCAUGCCGCGUGAUAGAUGAAGGCCCUCUGGGUUGUAAAUAUCUUUUAUCUGGGAAGAAACUCCUCUAUUCUUAGAGGCCUGACGGUACCAGAGGAAUAAGCACCGGCUAACUCCGUGCCAGCAGCCGCGGU
rnacentral:rRNA from 1 species